AGUCGCAUGGUCUAAUGGGUUAGUUUAUGUCGCUGCCGUACUUUCACUUCAAUAUCUGACAUAACAGUUAUGAUAUCUCGUUCACAUUCUGAGCAACAAACCGAGAUGGUUCUGGGUUCGAUCCCCAGUGCGACUA